AAAUAAAAAGCGAACUAUCGCACUCAGUUUCGGCCUGAGCCUUGGUGUUAAAUCACCUUUAUUUA
rnacentral:tRNA from 1 species